rnacentral:lncRNA from 10 species
ACACAAAAAAUUGCAAGAUUGUAAAGUAAUAUAAUGUAUCACUAUAUAGCAGAGAAAAUUAACUAAUUGUACCUACAUAUCAAUGUGAAAAAUCUCAUAAACAGAAUAUGGAGUGAAAUGCACAAAUCACAAGAGAAAACUGAUAUUCCAUUUCUAUAAAAUUCUAAGGCAAAAUUAAACUACAUUGUUAAGGAAUAACAUAUGUAAAUGAUAAAACUAUUAACAAUGAUUAUCACAAAAGUUAGGACAGUGGUUACAUCUGGGGAAGAGAAGGGAAGAGAAGGGCAAAGAAUGAGUUUCUAAGAUACUAACAAUGUUCUAUCAUUUCAUAGUGUGUGUGUGUGUGUGUGUGUGUGUCUGCCUGUGUGUGAACUUGAGCAUUUGCUUUACAACUGUUAUUUUAACAAGUAAAAAUCACUUAAAAGUAAGUGUGAAUGAGGUCCAGAAAGUCAGCAAACCCAACCAGAGGGUACAGUAUGUUGUGGAGUAGCAGGCAUUAAAACAAAUAAGGUGAUCCUCAAUCCAUUUCUUUUUUAGCGCUGAGCAGCAUCCAAUUGGUUGCUCCCUCCAUCACCCCCACUAAGCUUAAGAAUCUCACCUUCCUCAAAAUCCAGAGAUAAGUAAUGAAAGUCAUCAAACAGAGUCAAGGGGUCACCACGGAGGGUAUUGAAUCCUCCGAGAGGAAUGUUACCUCUGACACCUAGCUAGCCGGGCGGGGGUGUCCGGUGCAGGGUAAGAGUGAGGCGUUGAUAGCCGGAGGUUGUCUAUCGAUAUUAAGGGCUUCCCCCUUACAAUUGAGGCCCUUAUUUCAGUUGACAAAUGACACCUCACUGAAAAGGACGAUGGAAUUCAUUUCGCUAUCGAGGCUAUGGCUGAAGUAGAGUCUGAUCAGUCCUCAGUGGGGAAAUGGAAGAAGAGAUUGAGUGAGGAUAAAACAAAGGAAUGUACUUUUACUAUGAAGAUCAGAACGAGACCACAGGCUGAUAUAUGUGCAAAUUUAGACACUUGGAGUUUAUCUCCUGUGUCCAAAAAUCUGCCCCAGACAUUCCAUUUCUCAUUGCUGUCUUUCUUUUAAACUUGUUGUCAAGGAAAUAAGAUGCAAGCUGAGCAGGUGGGAACUAGAAGCAAAAAGUUUAAUAUUGUAUGUGAAUGCUUUUACAAUCUAAUGAGCAAUAAAAAGAUUCAUUCUGAGCUCUUUAUUAUGUUUUAAUGGCCAACCAUGUAAAAGCUGGAUAUUUGAAAGUAUUUUUGUGUUAUUUGGGUUCAAUUAAAACCUGUCUCUCUCUCUCUCUAAUAAUUAUUCUGGGAACAAGG